ACACACGACUAUAUCAGCAAACAUACAGUUCACUAGCUCAGCUCUAAAUGAACUUCUGCCGAUUAUACAAAUUAAUACUUUUAUUCAGCAAGGAUGCUUUAAAUUGAUCAAAAGAUGGCGUUACAAAGUAUUUAUAUUUCAACAAAUACAGCUGCACAUCACAGAAAUAAAUUACAGUUUAACAGAUUCACAUAGAAAACAGCUGCUUUACAUUCUAAUAAUAUUUCACAAUUUUUACUGUAUUUUUGAUCAAACAAAUGCAGCUUUGGUGAGCAGAAGAGACUUCUUUAAAAACAUUAAAAAUCUUACAGUUCACAAACUUCUGACUGGUAGUGUAUAUAACUACACUGUAAAAAGUGAUGUUGACUUAACUUUAAAAAAUUGAGGAAACCAAUUAACCAAAAUAAAUGGUCAUUUAAAAAAAUAAGUGAAUUGUCAACUUCACUUAACUUUCUUUUUUUUUAUUAUUAUUAUUUACUUAAUAAUUUUAAGGCAACAGGUUUCCUACAUUUUUCAAUUUUUCAAGUCAACUUAUCACUUUAUACAGUGAUGAUAAACUUAAAAUUUUAGUAUAUUAAACCAUAAUGCUUUAUCAAUGAGUUCAAGAAGCUUUGAAUAUCUUUUAAUGUGAAGGUUCAGUCGUAUAAGUAUUGUUUUGUCCUGUUGUGUAACGCUUGCUCAAGGUUUAUUUUGUGCUUAAUUCUCCCACAGUUUCCAAACACUGCACUAAAUGCGGACAUUAUUGUGUUUGGACUCCAUUCCUGCGAGUGACGCAUGUUCCUAAUCUGCUGUGAUCACGUGUUUGCCUGAGGAUCCCUGCCUGGAUAAAGCUGAGUGUCUCUCUCUCUUUCUCUCUCGAUGGCAUCCAGACGUUCAUUUUUGGCUCCAGAGUUUGAAAGAAAACAACUGCUGUUGCUAGGCAACCCAACAUGCCGUGAGUCACCCGGGCGCGCCCUCCACACAAACACACAGCCGCUGCGUCACUUCCUGCUCCCGCGCGUGAGAGAGAGAGAGAGCGGAUGCAGGAGUCUCUCGGAAUGAAACAAUGAGUCACAGUGAGUCCGGUUCAUACAGUGUUACACUUCCAUCCGCCGCCUGUGAUGUGCACAAAUCAUUGGUGUUUGAAGGAGAUGUUUUUAUUAAUUUAUUUCGUCUCCGUGCUCGUGCGUGAGUCUUACUUCAGUGUAUCUGGCGUGAGUGACCGCACACCGGGUCACUCUGAGAGAACAGCGCUGCCGCCCUCCAGCGGCCGGACCCGGUACUGCACACACUCCGCCGGUCACGUGUUUAAACCAGUCUCCUCUGAUCACCAAGCCUGCUUUUAUUUGAUACAAAACACUGCAAAAAGAUUACAUAUUGAAAUAUUUUUACUAUUUAAAAUAACUGCUUUCUAUUUGAAUAUAUUUUAAAAUGUCAUUUAUUCCUGUGAUUUUCAGCAUCAUUACUGCAGUCUUCAGAGUCACAUGAUCUUCAGAAAUCAUAAUAAUAUGCUGAUUUACAGCUCGAGAAACAUUUCUGAUUAUUAUUAUGUUGAAAACAGCGGAGUAUUUUAUUUUAUUUUUUUAGCUUUCUUUGAUGAAUAGAAAGCAUUUAUCUGAAAUAAAACUAUUUUGUAACAUUAUAAAUGUCUUUAUCAUCACUCUUGAUCAAUUUAAAGCACCCUUGCUAAAUAAAAGUAUUAAUUUCUAUAAUUUAUAAUAGAUUUAUUCUAUAAUCUAUAUAUAUAUAUAUAAAAAAAAAAGAUACUGACUCCAAGGUUUUGAAUGGUGUAGUGUAUAAUGUUACAAAAGCGUAUUAUUUCAGAUAAAUGCUGAUCUUUCUAUUCAUCAAAGAGCUUCGGUCACAGGAAUAAAUUACUCUUGAACAGAUAUUCACAUAGAAAACAAAAAUAAACAACUGUUGUUGUUUUUAUCUGCCAAUUUGAUUUGCUGUCUUGUCAACAAAAAGAGCAAAUAAAAUGGUUAUUGUUACAAUUAAUAAAAUAAAUCAAAUUGAAUUGUUAGCAUUGUUGUGAUGUUGAAGUCUGUGUGUGACUCCAGCGCAUCACCACAGAUAUUAAACGAUUAUAUCAACUCAAUUAAAAGCUUCUCAAGGCGUUUAUGAAGAACAAUGAAAGUGUAAAAGAUAAUAUAUAUAUAUAAGUAAUAUAUAACCUACUUUAAAAGCAUGUAUUUUAACCCACAUAGCCUAUGACAGCCCACAAUAUUACAUAAAUAAUUUAAAAAAUAUAUGCCACAUAACAUUCAUGAGUCUUGAAAUACCAUUAUGAUUAGCUUCCCAAGGAGCAAAAAGCCACGUGAUAUGAAUUAGGCUAUAUUCUCAAGAGCUGAAUAAACUCUGGAAAUUAGGCAUUCAAACCAACCGCAGCCAAUCAGCAAACAAAAAGCAUUCACGUUAAUUUUUCUAAACAAGAAAAAGCAUACUGUGAUAGUUCAGAAAAAACGUUGGGUUAUUUACUGUACCCAAUAUCUGGGUUAAACAUGUUGGGUCGCUUUGUUGGGUUAUUACUAUGUUUAUUGGGUUAUUUCAACAACAACGCAACCAGUUGGGUUAACAUUUAAAUCCCAACGGUCGAUUGGUGCAGCUGCGACAGAUGAUACAGUGGUAAAUUAAUAUGUGUGCGUAAUGUUUUUCGUUACAAAGUGUCUUCAUGCCCUGACACAAUAAUAUUUCUGUUUUUCCUACGAGUUUGUUUACAUCUCCUCUGUUGACUGAAACUUUAAUUAGUUUUUUCUGCACUCUUGACUAACGACACGAGCGCUUGUAGCAGAUCGAUUUCAAACGUAUAAAAAACGUUUUCCUUACUUUUUCUGUUCGUCUCGACAAUUUUGGGGAUUUUUUUUUUUUUACAUAACUUACAUUUCCGAUAUUAGGCAGAAGCGCUCACCUUGAAGACCAGCGGAGCCUCUUUCGUGGUGUCCACUCUGAGUGAAGGUAUGGCGCCAUUUUAUUCAAAUGUAAUGUCCUUUCUCCAGGAAACUACAGUGUAAAGUUAAAACACUACGAAACACGCAGAAAUUAAGCAUUUUAUUCUCUCUAAGUUGCUGGUUACCAGAGCAAUCAUGUAGUGAUUAUUUUCACCAACAGAGGGCGCUGCGAGCUACACUGAUUACACGCUUCUUCAGCCACGAAGAACUGAACAUGGAAGAGAGUGGGGCAUUGUUAUCAUCAAUUAUCAAAAGAUACCGUUAUCGGUUUCAAGAUUACUCUGGACUAAGGUAUAUUAUACCCACAUGUCAGUGAUAGAUAGACUUUGAGCUCUAAAGGGCAUGGAGAGAUGAAGAGAGCCUUGGUUGGAUCUUCUGGAUGUUUCUUCUGUUGGUCUUGGAGAUUGCAUUAAAGUUGCAGUAAAACCCUGCCCGAUAUCCUCCUUCAUUGCCAUACAAAGUGGGUUGGAACAAAUUUCAUUCUGUAUUUGGAGGAGGAGGAGCAACCAAGGCAAUUCCCUCAUAAUCAAGCCUUCAUUAUUGUGGGAGAAAUGGCACUGAAGCAAGGCCGUCUUUUUUACAAGCAGUUGAUACAUGCUUUAAAUUAUUUUACAUUUUGAACAUUGAGUAUCCCAAACCUGUUGCAGCUGUAAUUGCAUUGUCUGUACUAGCUUUGUUCUGUUUGUUUGUUUGUGAAUUUAUAUUUAUCUUGUAAACUGAAACAAUUGCAUAUAACCUAAUGUGAUAAGGAAAUAAUUAAUAACACAAUUUCAAC